rnacentral:hammerhead_ribozyme from 1 species
AUCCAGCUGAUGAGUCUCAAAUAAGACGAGACUCGAGUUCUGGAU